rnacentral:rRNA from 1 species
UACAGAGGUCUCAAGCGUUGUUCGGAUUCAUUGGGCGUAAAGGGUGCGUAGGUGGUGAUGCAAGUCUGGUGUGAAAUCUCGGAGCUCAACUCCGAAAUUGCACCGGAUACUGCGUGACUCGAGGACUGUAGAGGAGAUCGGAAUUCACGGUGUAGCAGUGAAAUGCGUAGAUAUCGAGAGGAACACCAGUGGCGAAGGCGAGUCUCUGGACGACUCCUGACACUGAGGCACGAAAGCUGGGGGAGCAAACAGG